rnacentral:rRNA from 1 species
ACGCUCGACACCUACGGGAAGCAGCAGUGGGGAAUAUUGGGCAAUGGGCGAAAGCCUGACCCAGCAACGCCGCGUGAGGGAAGAAGGUUUUCGGAUUGUAAACCUCUGUCCUCAGGGACGAAGGACGUGACGGUACCUGAGGAGGAAGCCCCGGCUAACUACGUGCCAGCAGCCGCGGUAAUCUGAGCGGGCUGGCAAGGC